AGGGAGGAGCUGAUCUGUUCCUGAUCUCUAAAGAGACUCAAACUUCCUCCUUCAGUUCAGUUCAACUCUCCAACAUUAACUCUGCUCAACAUGGACUAUUAUGGUCUGUCUCUGCUCAUCAUCUCUCUGCUAACAGGAGUCAGAUGCCAACAACUCACUGCGCUUCAGAAAGAAGAGUUCGCUGUAGAAAGCAGCAAAGUUACUCUGUCCUACACUUACUCCAAAACAGCAGACGGCAACGAUUAUUUCUUCUGGUAUCGACAAUAUCCUGGAAAAGGUCCAGAGUUCCUGAUCUCCCAUUUAGGAACAGGAACUAAACUCCAGGAUCCGGUUCCUGGUUUCUCCUUCAACAUGAAUGCUGAUAAAACCCAGAUGGAUCUGCUGAUCUCCUCUGCUGCAGUGACAGACUCUGCUGUGUACUACUGCGCUGUGAAGCCCACAGUGACAGGAAACACCAGAACCCUGUACAAAAACCUGCAGUACUCCACAGCAGCCACUAGAGGGCCUCACUCCCUGUUAAACCACUAAAACCUGCAGUUCUCCACACCAGCCACUAGAGGGCCUCACUCCUUGUUAAACCACUAAAACCUGCAGUACUCCACAGC